AAAUUUUUCUCGAUAAACAAACUUCAUGGCCAGGACAGAUAGACUAUGUUAGAAAAAAGUUUCUGAUAGAAAGUCUUAUUAAUCAAGAAUUAGAAUUAAUAUGAGGACAUAUGAUUCCAAGCUAACCAUAGUUAGAAUUGAGAUUUUGUAACCGAAAAAUUUUAAUGCACAGUACAUAUGAUAAAGGUUCAAAAGUUAAGGGAUGAUUUAAUUCAUCACUAAUUGGUGGUCAAAGUACACUAUGCUAGGUGUACACCAUAAUUUAUGAGAACCAAGAGUAGAAAGAGAAUUUCACCUAGAUAUAGAGAGAGCUCCAAUAAUAUUAAAGAGUUAAUA
rnacentral:misc_RNA from 1 species